UUGCAUGUAUUGGCCCUCGGGCUAAAAUUCCAUCUCUCUCUCUGCUGUGGGGAGUUUGGAAAGAUUCGUAACAUGCUAUAUUAACCAGAGUUUUCAGGGCCACCAGUCUCUAAAGUCCAGGCUGAGUCGGUAGUAUAAAACUCCAACACUU